GUUUCAGUCACCAAUUCAAGAGCAUAUCUUUCAUCUUCAGGACUGCAUAGGAAUUCCAUCUGUUUGGGCUCCCGCUGUUCAUAUUAAUUUACAGGUAAUUGCCCGACGAUACCUUAAGAGGAAGGAAUGAAGACAGGCAAGAACGGCAAACCGCUGGCCCGCGCAUCGCGCACUCUAGCGCCCGAUUCAGUACAGAGCUCAGCAGGCUGCUGCUCAACUCACCUCCUCCUCGAGAUCUCGCCUCUUCUGAUGCUCCCUUCUCCUCUGCAUCAGG